UACAGAGGUCUCAAGCGUUGUUCGGAUUCAUUGGGCGUAAAGGGGUGCGUAGGUGGCGGGGUUAGUCAGGUGUGAAAUCUCGGAGCUCAACUCCGAACUGCACUUGAUACUGCCUUGCUAGAGUACUGGAGAGGAGAUUGGAAUUUACGGUGUAGCAGUGAAAUGCGUAGAUAUCGUAAGGAAGACCAGUGGCGAAGGCGAAUCUCUGGACAGUUACUGACACUGAGGCACGAAGGCCAGGGGAGCAAACGGG
rnacentral:rRNA from 1 species